rnacentral:lncRNA from 1 species
UGAUAUGGAGGUUAUGGCCACGGACAUGGAGGGUAUGGCACGGACAUGGAGGAUAUGGCCACGGCCACCGCGGCAAAGGGGGACCUGGUGUUGCUGAGACGAAAAUCAAGAAUUAGAUAACCUGUUAGUUUCUGUAACGACCCGGUCCUAAAUAAAUGUUUAAUUAUUAAUUAAACAUGAUAAAAGACCAUUUGCCCCUAGAAUAUUUUAUUAGGUUUAAAGUUGACUUUUUGACUGAGAAGAGAUUUGAGAAUUCCUACUGUACUGGUGCGUAGGGCAUGGCGAGAUGAGUUCAUAGACACGUGGUGGGUUUGAAUCGGAGUUGUAACAAGAGAGAUACGAUCAAAAUACCCUCAGUGGCAUAACUAUAAUUUUGGAGAAAAGGGUUUGAUAAAAAUUUGGCUUCUCUCUCUCUCUCUCUCUCUCUCUCUCUCUCUCUCUCUCUCCCCCGCAAGUAAAACCCCCAUUCGUUUUCUGCAUAGCCGGUGGCUUCUAAAAGCCACUGCCGCCACCACCGUACACGACCGGCCUCGAGACCGAUCUUGUUUGAACCGUCGCUUCUCCCCCUUCCUUUCCUGACCAGCCCCGCCCCUGGAACCGGCAGAUUCCGUCGGAAAAAGCUCGGAAUCGAGCUGGAUUUGACAGAAACUUCGUCGGCUUUGUUCGCCGUCGUUCGACCACCAUUUCCGACGAUCUAGGUAUGGAUUUUGAACCUCUCGAGCUGUUCUUGCUGCUUGUUGUUUUAGAUUUGAGAGAUUUCUGCGUUUUGAAGGUCGAUUAAGCGAUGGAAGUUUGGCCGAUUUUCGGCUUCCGAUUCCGGCCACUUCCGGUCACUUUUUGGGGUAGGUCCAAGAACAAAAGUGGUUCCAAAUAGGGUGUUAUACCUAGGAUAGGAGUCUUGAGCCGUGGUUUUGAGAUUUUUCGGCGAUGCGUAAUCGCUUUGGACACCCACGCGUUGUCGGCGUGUGUGGCGGCGCGUGGGCACUGUAGAAAAGGGGCAUUGUGUCCCGAUGCAAUCCCCUUGUUGUCUCGAGUGCUUCAGUGUGCUCGAAUUUCAAUUUGGUUGACGUUUGAACCCUAAACGGAUUUCGCCUAUUGUGCAUUAUCAGGGUUCGAUAGGUUUGAACCGUUGGAUCGUCUUGAAUUCAAUAUAUGUUAAUCUAGGAAUUUCUAGGAUCGUGUAGGAAUUCAUGGAUCGUGAAUCGGAGCCCGGAUGUUCCGAUUUAAUAACUUAAAGUUUAUGUUUUACAAGAACCGUCUGAUUGUUCGAUCACGAGUGAGCCGACCGUUCGCUCGGGACCAAACUUACGGGACGUGUAUCCUGAACCUUGUAGAACCCAUAGUAACUUUCAGAUCAGAAUUUGGAGGUCGUGGGCCCUGUGGGCCCGUUUAACCAAGUUGGGGUAGUUGGAUACCUCGGUUGACCGUUAGUCUUACAAAGUAGUUUCACCCUUCGGAAGGUAUUAAGAUAACCUUUUUAUUGAAUCUUAAUUGUUAUUUGAGGUUAAAUUGGAAAUUGAUUCGAUUUAGGAUUUUCUUUAGAGGUUGUUGCUUAUCAUUAAUUAAUAUUAUUUGAUUAUAAAUAAAGUAUAAUGUUCUAGUUGUGUAAUACAGUAUUUUAUGGAAUUUGUGUGAAAACAAGCGUUGAAUAAUAUUUAAAUUGUUCUAGGAUCUUUAUGAAAUUUAGGUUUAUGUGCAUUAUCAUUGGUUAAAAAAAUAAUAUUAUUUUUCUGAUUAAAUUACGUUGCAGUCUACUAUAGACUGGUAUCACUAAAUUGGGAAUACCUCUAUUAUUAGUUUAGAUAAUUGAGAGUAUGUCAGUUUGAAAUACUAUACGCACUACCUUAUGUACCUCCUCGGAUAUUGAUUACACUGUAAGCACUAUUCUGUGAUUGUUAAGUCCCACGUGGAGUAGGUUAUCCAGCGUGAGGACAGACCUCAAACGUGGCGUUGAAUGUUCCGGCGUAUAGGGGAGAUUAUGUGAUGGUUAGGUCACACGUGGCGUAGGUUAUCCGGUGUGUUGAUAGACCCCUUACGUGGCGUUGGAUGUUCCGGUGUAUGGAGAGAUUUUGUGUUUGUUAGGUCCCACGUGGCGUAGGUUAUCUGGCGUGAGGACAGACCCCAUAUGUGGCGUUGGAUGUUCCGGCAUAUGGGGGAGAUUAUGUGAUGGUUAGGUCACACGUGGCGUAGGUUAUCCGGUGUGUUGACAGACCUCAUACGCAGCGUUGGAUGUUCCGGGGUAUGGGGAGAUUUUGUGAUUGUUAGGUCCUAGGUUGCGUAGGUUAUCCGGUGUGAGGACAAACUCCAUACGUGGCGUUGGAUGUUCCGGCGUAUGGGGAGAUUUUGUGAUUACCAGGGAGAUGAAUAAAGGAUUGUUAUGUUAUAUUGGGAAAGACAUGUUUGUUGAAAGAACUACGUGUGACUUGAUCCCUUAGUAAGGGUACGUAGGCAACCUAGGGUAAAGCAUAGGUGCAGCCGCGGGCUAAACUUUACUUAUGUUGUUUUAGUGAGUGGGGUGUUGAAUUUGUAGUUGGUCUUGAAAUUCGUAUGGAAAUGAGACUUGAUUAAAAAAGUUAUUCUAUGUUGAUUACAGUAGGCGUUCAUAAAUAAGUUUGAGUUGGUUAUAUACUUUGUUUAAUGCAUUAAUUUGCUUCAAGAGCAUUGCUGGCGGUUCUGUUUCGAGUUAUUUGAAGGCCGGAGGCCGAUUAUGUGAAUUGCAUGAAAUUAUCUUGUGUAUGCUGCCAGUUGUGGAUAUUAAAUGUGUUUUAUGCAGGUUGAAAUUUUUGGGAUUGUUCAAAUUACAGGGGAGACUCUGCCAAAAUUUCGGCAGAAAGUCUCGGGCCCUUAUUCCUUUUGGGAAAAAAGGAUAUAGUUUUAGAAGUGAGCCCGACAUCGGGAUGAUGUCAGGAAUUUUCACAGGAUUCGUCUCGGGUUUCGGGAAAUUCGAGGCAGGUCCUGUCAUUUUGUGACUUACGUUGCAGGUGGUUGUAAGGGUAGCCGUACGAAAUAAAGUUAUUUGGUUGAGUAAUCUAUAUGAACUCUCAAUCAUAUACUCGUCUUAAGCUUGUUCUCGUGUUCUCUGUAAUGUACGCAUUGGAAUGUGUUCUCUUGUUAUGUGAUAAAAUGUGAUGUAACUUGCUCAAUACAUAUUAUGUCAAAAAUGUUUAGUAUGGCUAGGCUCCUUAAAAUUGAGGGGGAGCACAUCCUCACAACAAAUGAGAUUUUGGCACUAGUUAAACUUCAAAAAAAAUAUAAAUAAAUAAAAGAGGUUAAAAGAAUUCAAAUGAAAAAAAAUUAAAGGAAUUUGCCAAGUGAGAAACUGCUGCUCAGUUUUGUGGAGCCAAACUUUUUCCUAAUAUUAAUGGAGUUCAUGUAUGACUCAUUUGUUUUGUGUACCAAAUUUAAUGAAUUGUGCAUUCAUUGGUGGACCCAUAAGAUAUAGUUUUUAAUUUAGGUGAGAUAUUCUCGGCAAUUUAAAUCAUGUCAAAAACAUGAUUUCAAAAAAAAAUCAGCCGUCAUCGAGUUUGUAGAUAAAUAAAUAAUAUAUAUGGAUGAACGUAAGCUAUAGAGAAGAACAUUACCAAGAGCUUUCGUGCUGAUAAUGUAUUGUGAAACUAGGAAUUUGUUGGGAGAAAUAAGAGGAAGAAAGAGAGUAUAAUUUGCUCGAAUAAACUUAUAUUCCAUUCAUAUUUGGUGCCACUACUUAUAGGGGUAGAGAGGCCUAAAUCAUUUACCACCAAUAAUUGGUAGGUGACAAAUAUAUAAUGAUGAGUGUUAUGAUAGGUUAAUAGUGGCUAUUAUUGUGAGCAUCCAUAACCUAUAAACCCAUAACGUAUGGAUUUAUAACACAAAUACGUUUAUUAAAUAAAAAAUAAUUAAAAGCUAAAAAGAAGAUAAGAGUCUAUGUCCAGCAAGAAUUCUAUAUAGAUUACUGUUGAGGCCCAAAAUGUCAUAAGAAGCUCAAGGAUAUUUAAAGUUCAAUAUAACAUAUAAUGUUGGCCAUGCGUUAAUCCAAGCUGUAUUUUGGGAAUUGAUUCAUUAAAUAAACAUAGAAAUAGUGUACAUGCCAUGCCAAUCAAAUAAUAUAUUUUUCUAUGCUAAACCACCUAACAAGCUUAAGUGGACCCAAGCCACAUAUAUGUUUGGGGCUUGCUGAGCGGAUUGUGGUGUGGAUGGUUACAAGUGUUCAUAAAGCUCGUUGAAGGAUCAAAUAGUGGAAAUUUUACGGCUGCUUGGGAGUACCAAAAUUCAUAUAUACCCACUUUCUUGAGCCUAAUUACACGAGUAAGCAGAGAGGGAACUCCCAGCCUCUUCCAAAACUCAAACCCACUUUCAUUACUAUGCACACAGUAAUUACUGCACACUCAUGGAGAGACCAAUUGUUGAGCACUGUCCAUUCAGGGAUCCUUCCUUACACAAUCAUUCUUCAGCCUAUAAAUAGACCUUCAUCCCUCCUUGCAAUACACACACCGAAACCAGAAGAAGAACGGCAGGAGGCAAGCUCAUCCUCCCACUGCCGUCUAGUAGCUAUGCUUGUAUCUGGUCUCGAUUUGCAUAUCUAUUAUUAGGUAAAAUACUUUGAAAAAGCACAAAUAGUUUGUGGACAUGAGCGAUAGAUACUGUGGCUAGAUUGUCAACAAUGACAGUGUGAACGACUUUUCUUCAUGGUGUGCUUUAGCUACAUCUUCUACCCUUCUGCGUUGGUCACAUUCAUGUAAUCUUGUACAUGAAGCAACGUACCACAAAGGCUAUCAAAACUUUAAUAACUGUGGACUAGAAGGAAGCAAUAUAUAGGUCCUACUACCUGUGCAUUUUUGCUUGACUAAUAGUUUGAUGCUUAAGGUAAAUCCAAUACAAUUAGUGUAAAUGUCCUUUUACUAUAUAAUUAGGUAUAUCCAAUACAAAAUAAAUCUUUAAUCUUGAACGUAUUUAUAUAGGGGAUUCUAUGACUCACAAAGAAAACCUACGGAUACAUUUGGGUUAUGUUUAAUCUCAUUUUCUCUUUUGUAAUUCCAUCUACUUUUUAUAAGAAUUUGUUUGAAACAACUUAUAUAUAAAAACUACCAUUGUUUUUAGAUGAUUAUUGUGGUAGGAUGAAAUCAACAAAAUAGACAAACAUGGUAUUUCAAGAAAAGACUAUAAUAACAACUAUCUAAUUGAAUGAUCAAAUGGUUUCGGAUCCAAGUGAUUAUCGCAGAGAUGAUCUUUGAAGAAAUAUCUAAAAACUAGAUGGUAUUGGAUUAUUGAAAUGCAUGGUGAGUCUUAUAAGGGUGUCCUUCAAAUAAGCUUAUUUGAGAAAUCCCUCAACUAAAGCCAUAUCAAUCUCCUUCUCACAAUAUAUAUAUACACACCACACCUUUUGUGAAAAUCUAAAAAUGCUAAAUUAGGAAUGAAAACUGACAGUUAAAGAACUCUCAUGAUCACUCUACAAGAUUGUGACCUGAAUGAUGAAUCAGCAGCUUAAGUUUUACCCAAUUUGCCACAUACCAUCAAAGUAGGGGUUGAUUUGGCGUUCUUUAGCCUUUAAUCACCACAAGAGUCACAAAUUCUUCUCUUCUGUCUCCUUAUCUUUCCAACCCCACUGAUAUCUCAGAAAGGUCUAUAAAUAGGGAGAACCAAGCCACAUUAUACUCACUCAGCAAUCAUCUCUUGCAUACUUUCAUAUAUACAUUAUCGUGCUUGUUGUUAAGCAAAACUUGGCAUCCUCAAAGGCUUGUCUUCUUCUUGGUCUUGUCUUUGCUGUUCUCUGUUGACGUGAAUCUCCUAAUUAAUGAAGGAGAUUUACUUCCUUGAUUAAUUAUGGGAUUUACUUUCCUAUUUUUUAUAUAGUUGAUAAAUCAUUGUAUAAUUAGGAGAUACUUUCUUAAUUCUUUACUGUAUCUAAUUCCUUGUAUAGCACCCCGUAAACUCUUAUAUAUACCUCUUUAUGGAGAAGAAUAAAGAUAACUGUUGUGAUAUUUAUUGCAAGCGCACAAUUCGCACAAGUAAUAUAGUGAUGAGUGAAGUGUCGUUCCCACGAAGAGUGAUUUAAUUUACCAAGUACCGAUUGUGAUUAACCCAAGACUUUAUUUGAACAAUUGAUGAUGAGAUUUGAUUGAUUAAUUAACUAAAACAAUGAAUAAAAACAAGCGUAGAAAAAUAAAGUAGUGAGAUUCAAGUUAUGAGAGCACUAGAGCUUCCGAUUUCACCAUAGCCAAUUCUACCCAAUUCCCUUAGCAUGUUAAUCCUAAUUAUUCUCUAUAUUGACAGUUGAUUUUCCCUACUUUAUUCGAUACUCCAUCCCUGGUUAUACCAAAAGGAUUCUUAUUACCAACCCACUCUAUCCCUAGUAAUGGAAUUAAGAUAAUAAGAACCCAUUAAAUUCCUUGGAAACCUACAAAACAACCACAUAAGUCAUGACAAACAUCCCUGUCUAAUCAUGUAACUCAUGGUAUCUAUUACAAGAAGCAACCCCAAAUUGGAUAUUCCUAUCAUCAAUUUAGCAUCAAAACAAUUAAAUGUUGGCCAAACAUUCAAAGCAUUAAGCAUGGUAAUAGAUACUCAACAUGGAAAAAUGCUUGGAAUUAACAUUGACUAAAGUAAUUGAGUAUUCAUGGCUAGGCUACAUCGUAGCCCUAGCAAGAAGAAAUUAGUUCAUGACAACUUUAAUAAAAACCAUGAUAAAUAAUAUCAUAGGAAAGAAGUAACCAAUUGAAGAUUUGAUCUCUGCACGACAGCAACUCUAGCUCCAGGUUGUCUUUUUUGUCUCUCUAAAACUCUCUCUCUCUCUCUCUCUCUCUCUCUCUCUCUCUCUCUCUCUCUCUCUCUCUCUCCUUUGAGUGUUUCGGCGAUGAGUAUGAAUGUGUAGGGAUUUUAGGGUAGAUGAUGGAGGAUGGAUGAUGGGUAAUGGAUCCUUUCAACAAUGACCUAAACUCCCUAUUUAUAAAACUCCUAGAAAUCCUACCUAAGGAAUAAUUACAAUUGUUAUAAAAAUAGGAUUCCUUCUAAAAUAAGGUCUUCUUUAUUUCUCCUUGUUUGACUUGAUAAGACUUGCACCAUCUUGAACUAGGAAAUUUGACAACAUUCCUUGCAACAAAAGGAAUGACUUGGCUUCUUUUUAAUUGAUCUUCAUCUUCUUGCCUUUUUUUAGCACACUUUCUCCUAUUUCACAAUUCCUUCACAAAUCUCACAAAACCAAUUAAAAACAACCAAUUUAAUCCAAGAAAUUAAUAAAUAAAUAAGCAAAGGAGGCAUAAAAUAUAUAUAUAAUAUAGACUUAUCAAUAACCUAAUACAUUCAAACCAUAUUCAUAUUUUAGCAUGGUAUCAGAGCAAUCGAUCCUCGGUUGUCUCUAAAUUCUCAUAUCAAAUUUUUCUUCAAACACAAACCAUAAAUCCUCAUAUCAAAUUUCUUCAAACACAAACCCUAAAUCCUCAUAUCAAAUUUCUUCACACCCAAACCCUAAAUCAAAUUCCUCAUAUUUAUAGCUUCAGAUUCAGAUCUUCAUACCCGAAUCCUCAUAUCCUCUUAUCACAAAACCCUAAACACAAAUUUUUUUCUCUUAUCACAAAAUCCUAAACACAUCUUUUUCCUCUUUUCUUAAAUCUUUCUGCUGCCAUGAAUAUUGUCUCAUCUUCCCAAACCACUGCCUCCACUUCCCCAUCCUCCAUAAUUGCCACAACAGGUUCCCACGGUUAUGUUUUGCAUAGUUCUUCAAAGAAACACAUAUGGGUCAUUGACACCGGAGCCACUGAUCAUAUAACCUUUGAUCCUGGAUAAAAUACCUCUCAUACCCCGUCUUCUCAAUCGGUGGUGUCUAAUACCAAUGGUACCCCCUCCCCAGUAAUUGGGGAGGGUUCCCUCUCUCUCUCUGACUCCCUCACUUUGGAUUCUGUAUUGAUUGUUCCAUCCUUACAUCAUAAUCUCUUAUAUGUUGCCCAAAUUACUACGGCUUUGAAUUGCAUUUUAACCUUUUGGCCUACUCAUUGUGUUUUUUAGGACAUUCUCAGCAGAAGAUGAUUGGUUGUGGUACUAGGACGGGCAAACUCUACUAUCUGGACUUGGCAUCUGACAGUGAAGCCAGCCUCAGUCAUGCUUACAAAAUUGGGGGUACGAGUGUUGAGAAGCAAACUUUCGGAGUAUGGUUAUGACAUCGCCGACUUGGACAUGCUUCAUUUGGAUAUUUACAGAAGCUAUUUUCUUCCUUAUUUUCCCAGUUAGAUAUCUUUAGUUUUAUGUGUAACAUCUGUGAAAUAGCCAAGAGCCAUCGUGUUUCUUUCCCUUUAAGUUCACAUAAAAGUUUGGUUCCUUUUUCGCUUGUUCAUUUUGAUGUUUGGGGCCCGCUAAAAUUACCACUCUUGGGGGAGCUAGAUGGUUUGUCGCGUUUAUCGAUGAUUGCACACGUAUGACCUGGGUUUCCCUUCUUCAAACAAAAGGGGAAGUCAGUUCCAAGUUUCAACAGUUCUAUCACAUGGUGGAGACAUAAUUUCAUACAAGAAUUCAAGUUCUUCGGUCUGACAAUGGUGGAGAAUUUCUCUACCAUAAUCUUACUCAAUUCUUACAAGAUCAUGACAUCAUACAUCAAUGCUCAUGCCCUUACACUCCCCAACAGAAUGGUGUGGCUGAACGAAAGAAUAAACACUUAUGGAAGUGGUUCGUGCCUCUCUCUUUGGUGCCAAUAGCCUCGGUCUUUUUGGGGAGAAGACGUCCUCUUUGCAGCAUACCUUAUCAAUCUGAUUCCCUCCAGUAUCCUUAAUUUCCAAACCCCCCUUCAAACACUCUACCACCAUAUCCAAAUACCUCAUACCAAAAACCUAGAACCACAGAUUUUUGGCUGUGUGGUCUUUGUCUUCUUACAUAAUCACUAAAACAAUAAAUUGAAUCUCCGCGCCAAAAAGUGUGUUUUUAUUGGUUACACACCUCAUCAGAAAGGUUACCGGUGUUAUGAUCCUCCUAGUCAGAAGGUCUAUACUUUUAUGGAGUUGUGUUCUGAGAACACGACAUAUAUUUUUCAGCCAUACAGGAGGAGCAUUGCGAUACCAACACAUCUCAAAUUUCAAGACUUUUCCUUUCAGAAUGGUCACAUACUGAAAACGACCAGUCGCAGAAUGCAAGUGACCGGUCGCCGAAGACUCUGCCUGAAAACGACCGGUCGCCUAAGACUCUGCCUGAAAGCGAUCGGUCGUCCCCCGGAAAUAUGAAUCUGCUUUAAAACGACCGGUUGUCUCCUUGUUGUCAAACUCAGGAGGAGAACAUUGAGGAGUUUUUGCCCGCUCAGGAGAAUUCUUCAACUCCAGUACCCCACCAAUCACCUGCUGAGGACGUCAUUCAGGUAACCUCUUUUCCUGAAACUAAUAAUAUUAAUGAAAUAUCCCAUGAUGAUUUAAUUUCAAAAGGCAUAUAGCCUACAUAUUAGAUUCCAAAACGGAAGAACGGUGGAAAACCUUCAGUUCACUACGAAGCAGACCUUAAUGCAAAAUGGAAAUAUCCCAUCAACAAUUAUGUAUCCAUCAGCAGAUUAUCAGAAUCACGGGUACACUUUGUGAAGCAGUUGGAUGACAUACCUGCUCCCAACAAUGUAACUGAAACACUAGAAGACUCAAAAUGGAAAGAAGCCAUGAAUGAAGAAAUGCGAGCUCUCCAGAAGAAUGACACAUGAGAAGUCGUGCCAUUACCUCACGGAAAGAAGACUGUCGGAUGCAGGUGGAUUUAUACUGUGAAACUAAAAGUAGAUGAAUCCAUUAAAAGAUAUAAAGCUAGAUUGGUGGCGAAAUGGUACACACAAAGAUAUGGGAUAGACUACCAUUAGACUUUUGCCCCAGUAGCCAAGAUUAAAACUAUCAGAGUUCUUCUAUCUUUAGUAGCAAAUCUAGAUUGGCCAUUACAUCAGUUUGUUGUAAAAAAUGCAUUCUUACAUGGAGACUUGGAAGAAGAAGUAUAUAUGGACUUGCCACCAGGAUGUAACUUAGCUCGUGACAAGGAGAAUCAAGUUUGCAAGCUCAGAAAGUCAUUGUAUGGGUUAAAGCAAUCCUCUAGGGCAUGGUUUGGCAGAUUCACUAAAUCUAUGAAGAAUUUUGGAUAUAUACAAAGUAAUGUAGAUCACACCUUGUUAUUGAAGCAUGAUGGAAGAAGACUUACUGCACUGAUUGUUUAUAUGGAUGACAUAGUCGUAACUGGAAACGACACAGAAAAGCAAUUGAAACUGCAGAAAUAUUUGUCUCAGGAAUUUGAGAUGAAGAAUCUAGGUGAUCUGAAGUACUUUCUAGGAAUUGAAGUAGCUAGGUCCACAACUAGUAUAUUUCUGUCUUAAAAGAAGUAUGUAUUAGAUCUGCUCACUGAAAUAGGAAUGCUUGGAUGCAAACCUGCUGAUACACCCAUCGAGAUGAAUCACAAGUUAUGUGAAGACAUGGAUCAAGAACCAACCAAUAAGGAACAGUACCAACACCUUGUUGGAAGGUUGAUAUAUUUAGCUCACACAAGACCAGAUAUUGCAUAUGCUGUGAGUAUGGUUAGUCAGUUUAUGAAUUCACCCAGUGUGUCCCAUAGGAAUGCAGUUGAUCGGAUCUUAAGAUACUUAAAGUCAGCACAUGGAAAAAGGGUUAACAUUCUAAAAAAAUAGAGAUCUCAAAGUUGUUGGAUAUACAAAUGCUGAUUGGGCUGGCUCCGUUACUGACAGACGCUCUACUUCAGGUUACUUCACUUGUGGGAGGUAACCUAGUCACUUGGCGGAGUGAAAAACAAAAUGUGGUUUCUCGAUCUAGUGCUGAAGUAGAGUAUUGAGGAAUGGCUCACGGAGUUUGUGAAUUACUAUGGAUCAGAAGACUAUUGACAGAAUUGGGGUUUAAGCCAGGAAAGCCAAUGGAGUUACAUUGUGAUAACAAGUCAGCCAUCGAUAUUGCCCAUAGUCCAAUUCAACAUGAUCGAACUAAACAUGUUGAGGUGGAUAGACAUUUUAUCAAAGAAAAACUUGAGAAGAAGAUCAUCCGCCUACCGUUGGUAAAAUUAGAAGAUUAGUUGGCAAAUAUCUUAACCAAAGCUGUUUGUGGAAGAGUAUUUUCUGACUCACGUACCAAGUUGGGCAUUGGUGACAUAUAUGCACCAACUUGAGGAGGAGUGUCGACUUGAGUCUCCUAAUUAAUCAAGGAGGUUUACUUCCUUGAUUAAUUAAGGGAUUUACUUUCCUAUUUUUUAUAUAGUUGAUAAAUCAUUGUAUAAUUAGAAGAUACUUGCCUAAUUCUUUACUGUAUCUAAUUCCUUGUAUAGCACCCUGUAAACUCUUAUAUAUACCUCAUUAUGGAGAAGAAUAAAGUUAACCUAAUACAUUCAAAUCAUAUUCAUAUUUUAGCAUUCUCCUCAUCUCCUCUGAGGUCUCAACUACUCCAACUCGUGAGUUUCUCACUUUAAAUUAGUAAUUGUAUAUAUUAAAUUAGUAAUUGUAUCUUUCUUUCCAGUAACGAUUUGUAAAUUUAGGCACAUUUUAAUUAUAAGGUGCACUGGUCUUGAAAAUGAUUAUGCUUCGAACUCUUUUUCUACAUGAAGGGCUAGUGGUUGCACCUGCAUGGCUUAAUUUGCACCUUAUGAAAUACAAACCUAGCUAUGAUUGUUAUAAGUUAUGUAUAUUGAUUUUGCUUUAUAUAUAAAGUUUUUGUUUGUUCUCUCAGAGGAGAGUAUAGUGGUGGCGGAGCCACUUCUAGGCCAGGAGCGGCCCUGGUCCCUCUAUUUUUUUGACUUCUCUCCUAUACUAUAUAAUGUAAUAUAUACAACUUACUAAUAGACAACUUGUAAUUUAAAUUAAUGGCCCCUUUAAAAAUAAUUAGGCAUGACUAAUUUUGAAAAUUUUAGCUCUAACAUGUGUUUUGAACACUUAUAUGUAUUUGAUAUACUUGUGUUUUCUAUCUUAGCCCCCUCAAUCUUAAAUUUCUAGCUUCACCCGGUGAUGAUUUUCUAGAUGACCAUGGUGAUGGACGUGGAGGGUAUGGCCACAGACAUGGAGGGUAUGGCCACAGACAUGGAGGGUAUGGCCAUGGCCACCACGGCAAAGGGGGGCCUUGUGCUGCUAAGACUAAAACCAAGAAUUUGAUAACCUGUUAGUUUCUGUGACUUACGUUGCAGGUGUGUUGUAAGGGUAGUAGUACAAAAUAAAGUUGUUUGGUUGAGUAAUCUGUAUGAACUCUCAAUCAUAGACUCGACUCGUCUUAAGCUUGUUCUCGUGUUCUCUAUAAUGUACGCAUUGGAAUGUGUUCUCUUGUUAUGUGAUAAAAUGUGAUUUAACAUAUUAUGUCAAAAAUGUUUAGUAUGGCUUGGCUCCUUAAAAUUGAGGGGGAGCACAUCCUCACAACAAACGAGAUUUUGGCACUAGUUAAACUUCACAAAAAUUAAAAAAAAAAAAAAAAAAAGAGGUUAAAAGAACUCAAAAGAAAAAUAAAAUUAAAGGAAUUUGCCAAGUGCCAAAACUCUAUUUGUUUUGAGGAGGAACUACUCCUCAGUUUUAUGGAGCCAAACUUUUUCCUAAUAUUAAUGGAGUUCAUAUAUGACUCAUUUGUUUUGUGUGAUCACCAUUUGGUUAAUGAAUUGUGCACAAAAUUUAAUAGGAUACGGAUCAUCUGCUAUGAUUUUAGUCCUCUAAUAGGAUGGAUCCUACUUUGGAGCACAUGUGGUAUUGGUAGUUCCUACUCGCAUUUACAAAUACAUAUUGGUUGGUCCAUUAAAAUGCAAAUAUCACCUCUCAUAUCAUUAUGCGAACAUUGGGAACAAGAGUAGUGUUUCCACCGUUGACAAGGGAUUGGAAGAUCUAGCUCGACGGAAAAAUAAGGAGUAAAACUUAUAGAAGCAUGCAUGCCGUGUAUGUAUUGUUGUUAUCAUGGCGAUACUAAUUUGGCAAUUAAUUUUCUAAUGGGUGAAUUAAAAAAACAUUUUUAAUCUAUAUAUGUAAAGUUAAAUAUCCUUAUGGUUAAAUUUUAAAAUAACCCAUUUAAGAAAAAUUUCAAAACUCAAGUAUUAAUUCAUUUUGAAGGGACAGAUACAUUUAUUUAAAAAAUAAUAAUGAAAAGGAGAUAAGAAUUUAUGACCAACAAGAAUUCUAUAUAGAUUACUGUUGAGGCCCAAAAUUAAUGUCAUGAGAAGUCCAAGGAUAUUUAAAGCCCAAUAUACAAUAUAAUAUUGGCUACGCGUUAAUCUAAAUUGUAUUUUGGGAAGUUAUUCAUUAAAUAAAUAUAGAAAUAUUGUACAUGUCAUGCCAAGCAAAAUACAUUUUCCUAUGCUAAACCACCUGACAAGCUUAAGUGGACCCAAACUACAUAUAUGUAUGGGGAUUUCUGAGUGGGUUGUGGUAUGGAUAGUUAUAAGUGUUCAUAAAACCCGUUGAAGGACCAGACAAUGGAAGUUUUAGAGCUGCUUGGGAGUACAAAACUCAGACCCACUUUCCUGAGCCUAAUUACAUGGGUAAGUAGAGACAGAACUCCCAGCCUCUUCCAAAACUCAAACCCACUUUACUGCACACUCAUGGAAAAACCAACUGUUGAGCACUGUACAUCCCUCCUUGCAAUACACACAACGAAACCAGAAGAAGAACGGCAUGAGGCAAGCUCAUCCCCCAACUGCCGUAAACACACAAAGCCCAAGCCUUCCUCCAUUCUCUUCUUUCAUAACACCACUCCAAGCCCUGAACAUCACACGGAAAACCAUCCCAAAACAUCCCAACUCCCGAAAACACCACAUGCAUCUCACCUUCAACAUAUCUUAUUCCAAUCCAAGCAGCAAAAGCACUCUCUCUUACUAAAGCCUUCUACCUUUGAAGCAUGAGUAUAUAGAUAUAUAAAAAGGUAGAAGAGUACAGUAUUUGUACUGUAUUGACCCUUUGUUUGUCCAGGCGGUCUGAUAGAUGUUUUGAUAUGUAAGAUAACGAUCCAGAUUGAGCGCUAACUUAUCCAGGGUCGAUGAGGCCAACAAAGUUUACGAUAUUUGCCAUUUUUAAAUAGUCAAAUAGGUACCUAAAAAUAUGAAAUUCAAUUAAAUGAAAUUUUAAUUUAAAAGAAAGGGAAUUGUAAAAAAAUUGGAUGUUUAGAAUUACCUUAUGUAUACUGCAAUCACUGUGGAUCUGAUCUCAAUCAUGGAUGCAAGCUAUAAAAUAUCUUCAUACAAGAUGAAGGUAUCAUGCUCAUACCCAAACACUUCCCCUGGAAUGUUAACUCUCACGGUCUCGUUCGAAGGCAACUUGGUUUGGAAAAAUUGGCAUAGGGCUAAUAGAGGAGACAGCAAAUCCAGCUUUGAGAAAUCCUGAUUCAAUAAAUAAAGAAAGAACUAUAAGAUAGCUUGCAAAAAAGUAAAAUAAAUGACUCUAACUAAACCAUCCAAACCGUCGUGGUAUUAAAAUAUUAACGACGGUGAUUUGAAAAUACUGACGUAGUAAAGAAUCGAAACGACGGUAAAAAUAAACCGCCUUUGUGUCAACGUUCUAACGUCGCAAAACUAGAAAAAGGUCGUCUAGAAUAAAAUGCAGUGAAGAUGGCUUGUAAAACAAGUAAAACAAAUGACGCUGUUUUGGUUAUUGUUAAUACUUAGAAAGGCAGACAUUUGUAAGCUGGUAGAGAAAAGGAUCACAUACCACCAAGCUUGUUACGGCUGUUCUUUAUACAUAUUCUGUUUAUCUGUUCUAUUUGUACUUGUGAUGCAGGGCUUUUUGUUUCUGUUCCUCUUGUCACAAAGAAUUUUUAUUUUAUUUUUGUUUAAGAUAUUAUGUUAUUAUGUUCUUUAAGACAACUUACGCGGCUACGGUGUUCAUUGUUGUCAAGAAAAAUUAAUGGUCAUGACCGUUAGAAGUCAGACCAUUGAAAUCCAUCCUUUUUAUUUAUUUAUUUAUAUUUAUAAAUGUGGUCACAAUUUUUUUUUUUUUUAUAACACAAAGGCGAUAGUGUUUUAUUAAUUAAUGAGGAGAAAAGGGUAACAAGUACAAAAAAAUCAGACAAAGACCUAGCGGAUUAGGCGAGUACUCUACACCAAUUCAUGUUUUCACAAGCACUUUUUAAAUGUUUUCACAAUCUUAUCAGAAAUCUUGUCAUAUAUGGAAUAUUGUCUCUAAAUAGUAAUUUAAUUAAAUUAAACAAUACAUAGUUGUGGAAUGUAUGAGUGUUGUACCAUAGUUUUUCUCAAAAUAAUAAAAUAUGAAGGAUCAUAAAACUUAGCCUUAUAUGGUUGGAGAUGGAAAAAUUUAGCCAUGCACUAUUCUUUAAAAAAUUAAUAUUUUGGACGGCUAAAUUUUUAGCCCUGGACUACAUUUGGCCCUAUGACUGGAGAUGGCCUUAGAAUCCAUACACAAGUUUAACAUACACAUAUCCUUUUCACUUAAGUUUAACAUACAUGCUAAUGGGGGCUAACUCAGUGGAAAAUGACAUUGAUUUACAGACUAGAGGUCUUAGGUUCGAACCCCCAUAGCAUCUUAGUUGUGUGUGUAAGUUUAAACCAACGCUUGUAUUAAAAAAAAAAAAAUUUAAAAUACACAACCUAUUGUUGAUGAAAAAUUAGAAUCCAUUAAAAGGUCAUGUAUUAAAAGAAGUACCAUUUCUAUAAAAUAAUAAUAAUAAUAAUAAUUUAAUUCUUUUCAGUUAAAUUUUCCAAAAAUUAUAGUAGUUUUCUCUAUCACAUACCUAAGUCAAAAGUAAUGGAUAAUUUGAAUAUCUUUAUUAAGUAAAGCCCAAACAUAUCUUAGAAAUCGACAGUACACACUCAUUAUUUGAAUUUUGAAACACGGACUUAUCAAACCCAGUAAGGCCCUCCCAUAAGAAGCAAAACAAGCUCUAGUUCUUUCUUCUUUCUCAUACGUACAAUCCGGACUCAGGCAUGGUGGUGCCGGAUCAAUGAAAUAAAAGCAACACUAUCUUUCAUGACUUUUCCAACAUGUGUGAAGCCAUCUUCUUUUUUGUAGACGAGAUCCACCAUUCUUGUUAAAUUAAGAACAAGUACAAGGACAGGCAUUGGCACAGAGGUUGGCCUGAGGAACUCCUCGUUGAUAUCUUUCCACGAAUCCACAAUCUGUUUGUGGAACUCCUCUCUGCAGCUUAACUUAUAAAUGGGAUUCCCUAAAGUAUCUCGAAUUUCCAAAUUCCAAUUCAAACUCUUCACCACCAUCUCCAAAUACCUCCACCUCAAACCUUGAACCGCAGAUUUUCGGCUGUGUUGUAUUCGUACACUUACAUGAUCACCAACGCAACAAAUUGGAUCCGAGUGUAGAAAAGUGUGUUUUCAUUGGCUAUGCCCCAUAUCAGAAAGGUUAUCGAUGUUAUCACCCUCCAAGUCAGAAGGUCUAUACCUCCAUGAAUGUAGUGUUCUAGGAACACGAUAUAUAUUUAUCAGAAGCACAUGAGGAGAAUCUAGACCCAAAUACCCUGAAUUUUCUGGACUUUUUAACAACGGAAGAGACUCAGCAUCAAAGCAAUCGGUUGCCUUUCCAAAACGACCUGUCGCCUCCCUUUGAUAGUGCAAAAGAGGCGUCUCUACCUCAAAGUGACCGGUCGCCUCUCCCACACAACUGGUCGGCCCCCUAUAUUCCUUCACAAGCGGAGCCACUAGUCAAAACAACCGGUUGCUUUGCCCAAACAAUUAUCGAUUGGUAUGCUCUAUGUAUGUUAUUGUUUGGUAUAAUUCAUAUAUGACAGUUGACUAGUCAUAAGAGUAUUUGGUUAAGAUCUAGAGUGUGUGAAAUUUGUUGCGUUCUUGGUUGAAUAUCUUUUAAGUUUACCCCUCGUCACCUAAGUACCAAUUUCAAAACCAUAUGUAUAUUUUAGCAUAUUUUGCAUUUGGACCAGUAGCCACAUAACAUGAAGAGAAAUUAAUGGAGGAACAUCCACAACGAAAAGCAUCAAUUAAUUUAUUGAAUCUGAGGGGUACAGUUGUUUCUUCCCAACUUUUUGAACAAGAAUUGCAUAUUAAUUCAGUUAUGUAAAAGGUUGCAGGUUGGUGAGUCUGUGUAACGGUGGACAAGAUAUAAUGGGUGAAAAGUACGUAGAUUAUUCAUCAAUUGGUAAGAGGAAAUAUUUAAGCCAAUCAACUCAUCAAAUGUUAUUUUAUUCUACUAUUUUAUACUUAGGACACCUCAUCAACUCAUAUAUAGCAGCCCUUGAUACAUUAAAAAAAAAAAACAAAUAAAAAUACCACUUCAGCAGGCAUGGGUUAGGCCGGUUAACAGUGAGUCUGUCCCUUUACACUUAAGUUUGAAUUCUCCUUUUAUAAUUUAGAUUAAUUUAGAGUACUUUAAACUAUUACUUAUAUAUUUAUAUAUAUUAAAAAAAAUGUCAUUUGAUUCAGUUUUUAUACAUAAAAUAAAAUUAUGGACUCAUAGCAGCCCUUGGUACAUUAAAAAAAAGAUUAAACAAAAAAACAGCAGCCCACUAAUAGACGUUCCACUAUAAAUAGCACAAUACAACACCUCUUCAACUCAUAGCAGCUCUUGAUACAUUCAAUUAAGAGCACAUUGAUCAUUUCCUCGCACUUAGGAAUAAAAUGUCUGCUCAAGUUUUAGCUGCAUCCCAAGCUCAAAGCCCAAAUGCGAUUCCUGAUCAUUUUAAGCGAUGUUCAGCUAAUUUCUCUCCCAGUACUUAGGGCGAUUAUUUUCUGUCAUAUGCUUCUGUGGUAGGAAAUUAAUUAAUCCUAACAAUUAUUUAUGGGCUAAUAAUACUCAUCAUGUGCUAUAGCUGCGUCGUAUAUUUUGAAUAUUUUAUUAUUAUAAAUUAAUUUUGAUAACUUCCAUGCACCAUGAAUGAAGGUCAUACUUUCCUUAAUAUCCUUUUCAAUUUGUUCGUGUAGGAAACAGAUAUCAAAGCAGAGCAAGAUGUCCAAGAACUGAAGGAAAAAGUGAAGGGGAUGAUAAUGGCUCCAAUGCUUAAAAAUCCAUCAAAAAAAUUGGAGUUAAUUGAUGAGAUUCAGCGGUCUGGUGUCUCCCUCCAUUUCGAAAAUGAGGUUGAGGAAGUUUUGCAACAAAUUCACAAGAACUCUUACGGCGGUGAUGAAGAAAAUGAUUUUGACCUUUUCACAAUUGCUCUCCGUUUCCGGUUGCUUAGACAGCAAGGUUACAAGGUUUCAUGCGGUUAGUCCUCUCUCUCUCCCCGCGCUCAUAUGUUUUGUUUUAUAAUUCUAGAUUAAUUAAUUUUCUUCUUCUAUAAUUUUCUUCUUCUAUAUCUCUCUCUCCUCGCUCACAUGUUUUGUUUUAUCAUUCUAGAUUAAUUAAUUUUCUUCUUCUAAGCUAGCAGACAUUUUCAACAAGUUCAAGGACGAUGACGGGAAAUUUAAGGAAACACUUGUGGAUGAUGUAGUAGGACUGUUGAGCUUGUACGAAGCCACACAUCUUAGGAUGCAUGGAGAGGAUUUACUGGAUGAGGCGCUCACCUUCACCACAACUCAUCUUGAGUCAGUGGAAGCACACCGUUUAAGCCCCUUGCUUGCAAAACAAGUAACCCAUGCCUUGUAUCAACCAUUCUGGAAGGGCUGCCAAAGGCUAGAAGCAAGGCGUUACUUGGCUAUCUUUGAGGAGGAACCUCAUCCAGCAAAUGAAACUCUCCUAACUUUGGUAAAGUUGGAUAUAAACCUAGUGCAGCAAGUCCAUCAGAAAGAACUAAGUGAAAUUUCAAGGUUAAUUAAUAUACAUACAUAUAUAUUAGUGUUCAUCAGUAUACUAAUUAAGUUAUUAUUAUGUAAUUAAAUGAUAAAUUCAGGUGGUGGAAGGAUUUGGACUUUGUAAACAAGCUUCCUUUUGCAAGAGACAGAGUAGUUGAGUGCUACUUUGGGGCUCUGGGAACCUAUUUUGAGCCCCAAUAUUGCUUUGCUAGGACAUCAUUAAGCAAAGUUUUUGCUGUGACAGAAGCUAUUGAUGACAUUUAUGAUGUGUAUGGCACACAAGAGUAGCUAGAGCUCUUUACUGAAGCUGUUGAAAGGUGUAUUGAAAUCGAAACCCAAUUAAUUUAUAAGUUGUUUAGAUUAGUCAUUUAUCCUUCUCUAAAUACUGAAUAAGUCAUCACUAUAUCCAUCGGCGGUCCUGAGAAAUUGAGGGCCUUGUGUGAAACUUAAGCCCUCACAUAAUCUAAUAUAAAAAUACUAAAUUUUUUUUUGCCAUAACAUAAUGUUAUAAAACUAUUUUUUUAUAACUAAAAUUUAUCAUCAAUUAGCAUGUAAUAACAAAUACAAAUCAAUAAAUUCAUAAACUUUUUAAUGUUUUUCUUUGAUAAAAUUAAAUAUUAGUACAUUUGAUAAAAUAAAAAAAAAAGAGUUCAAGAGAAAGAAGAAUGAAUGAAUAUUAUAUCCAGUAGUCAAUUAUCCUUCUCUAAUUACUGAUUAAGUCAUCACUAGUCUAUAUCUUAUUAUUAACUUAUUUUAAUCAUCAGGUGGGACAUCUCAGCUUUGGACCAACUGCCGGAGAAUAUGAAAGUUUGUUAUGGAGCAAUGUUGGAUGUAUACACUGAAAUCGAAGAAAAGCUUGGAAAAGAGGGAAUUUAUAUCGCAUCCACUAUGCGAGAGAAGCACUAAGCCUCAUUAAUAUUUUUUAGAUUACAGAGUUGCAAGACCAUAAAUUAGUAUUCUAGUUAAUUUCCAAGUUUAUAUAUGCACAAAUAGUAGUUGAUAUCUUACAUUUCUUUGGGUCGGGCUUCAGACCUAUCUAGACAGAUUUGAGUGCGUGCUUGACUCAGUCUGAUCCAAAUAAAAAAAAAUGCCCGGGAAUGUAAGUUUUUUUUUUUUACUUUUUGGGUUGGAUGCUCUUAAUUCUAAUAAAAUAUAAAUUCUCAUGAUAUUAUUGCAUAGAAAGUAAUUAGAGAUCAUAUCUUGAUUUCGUAGAUGAAAUGAAUGGCUCCACCAGAAAUACACACAAUGGAUGAAUAUAUGGCAGUAGCACUUGGUACAUCCUACAUGAUGCUAUCAACCACGUCCUUCAUUGGAAUGGGAGAUAUUGUCACAAAAGAGUCCUUGGAUUGGGUUCUCAGUGACCCUAAGAUUGUGAACUCUUUAUCAAUACUUGGCAGACUCAUGGAUCACAUGAAGUCCCACAAGGUACAUAUUAACAUAAAUGCAACCUUUUCGUUUUUAUUUAUUUCCCCAUACCCCCUUUUAACCCUAAAUUCAUGUCUAUAUUGACGUAGUUUGAGCAAAAGAGAGGACAUAUUGCCUCAGCUGUGGAAUGCUACAUGAAAGAGUAUGGUGCCACAGAAGAAGAAACGAUAAUCGAACUCCAAAAACAAGUAAAUAAGGCAUGGAAGGACAUAAAUGAAGAGUGGAUCAACCUCAUCACCAUCCCUAUGCCACUACGAUUGAGAAUUCUGAAUUUUGCACGUACCAAUUGUAAUGACCCGGUCCUAAAUAAAUGUUUAAUUAUUAAUUAAACAUAAUAAAAGACCAUUUUGCCCCUAGAAUAUUUUAUUAGGUUUAAAUUGAAUUUUUGACCGGGGAGAAAUUUAGGAAUUUCGACUGUACCUUUGCAUAUAGCACAGUGAGAUGAGUUCAUAGACACGUAGCGGGCUCGAAUCGGAGUUGUAACAAGAGAGAUACGAUCAAAAUACCCUCAGUGGCACAAUCGUAAAUAUUGCAAAAAGGGUUUGAUAAAAUCUGGUUUCUCUCUCUCUUGAUAAAAUCUGGUUUCUCUCUCUCUCUCUCUCUCUCUCUCUCUCUCUCUCUCCUCCGCGCACUCUCUCUCUCCCCGAUAGCAGCCCCCUCUCUCUUUCUCUCUCUCUUCGAUUCUCUCAGCUCCGGCCACGGCAAGGGCCAGCACUGGUCCCAUUUGCUUCGUCUCGAUGCCACGGUCACAACCCGCCCCUUUUCUCGGACGGAGAGCUCGAGAUUUGCCGGCGAUAUCGACUGGUUUCUCUGGUUGUUCACGGCGUCGCUACGGCCAAUUCCGACAGCCAACUCCAGCAACCGAGGUACGAUUUCUCACCUAUUUUUCACGCUCUAGCUGCCUGUUGUGUAGGAAUUGCACGAUAUUCAUGUUUAGAAACUUGAUUUAGAAUUUAGGUUUUGGCCGAAUUUUCAAAGUGAAAUUUCAGCCACUUCCGUUGGUUUUUCAGGGUAUGUCCAAGAACAUAAAUGGUUCCAAAUAUGGUGUUACACCUAGGGUAGGACUCUUGAGCCGUGAUUCUGAGUUUUUCCGACAGUGGGUUAUCACUUUGGACACCCAUGUGCUGCCGGUGCGUGGGUACUGUAGAAAAGGGGCAUUGUGUCCCGAUGCGAUCCCUUUGUUGUCUCGAGGGCAUAGGUAUGAGUGAAUUUCAAUUUGGAUACCGUUUGAGUCUCGAACGGAUAUCGCAUAUUGUGCGUUAUCCGGGUUCAAUAGGUUUGAACUGUUGGAUAGUCCUGAAUUUAUAAUAUGUUAAUCUAGGCAUUUCAAGGAUUGUGUAGGAAUUCACGGAUCGUGAAUCGGAUCCCUGGAUGUUCCGAUUUAAUAACUUAAAGUUUAUAUUUUACAAUAACCGUCCGAUUAUGCGAUCGCGAGCGAUCCAACCGUUCGAUCAAGACCAAAGUUGUGGGACUUGUAUACUAAACCUUGUGGAACCUAUAGGAACUUUCAGAUCGGAAUUUGGAGGUCGUGGGCUCCGUUGACCCGUUUGACCAAGUAUGGGGUAGUUUGACCCUUGGUUGACCGUGAGUCUUCCAGGAUAGUUUCAUCUUCCUAGGAGGACUAAAAUGACCUUAGAGACAUGUCUUGAUCGCUAGUUGAGUUAUGUUGAUUAUGAGGGAUUAGGAUAUAAAUUUUAUUAUUUUAAAUUUGGAGAUUAUGGGAUGCUAUAUUGUGGUUGAGGUUUAUGCUAUUUUGGAAAUUAAUACAUACAUGUAUAUAUAUUAUAAAGAUAUAAAGAUGUUUGAUUUCACUAUAAGUACCAUCCUGCGAUUUUGAGGUCUCGCAUGGCGUAAGAUUUUCCGACGUUGAGACACACCCCAUACGUGGCUUUGGAUGUUCUGGCGUAUAGGGAGAUUUUGUGAUUGUAAGGUCCCACGUGACAUAGGAUUUUUCGGCGUGAGGACAAACCCCAUACGUAGCGUUGGAUGUUCCGACGUAUGGGGAGAUGAUAUGAUUGUUAGGUCACACGUGGCGUAGGAUUUUCUGAUAUGCUGACAGACCCCAUACGUGGCGUUGGAUGUUUCGGCGUAUAAGGAGAUUUUAUGAUUGUUAGGUCUCACGUGGCAUAGAAUUUUCCGACGUUGAGACAGACCCCAUACGUGGCGUUGGAUGUUCCGGCAUGGAGAUUUUGUGAUUGUUAGGUCCCACGUGGCGUAGGAUUUUCCAACGUGAGGACAGACCCCAUACGUGGCGUUGGAUGUUCCGACAUAUGGGGAGAUGAUAUGAUUGUUUGGUCACACGUGGCGUAGGAUUUUAUGGCGUGCUGACAGACCCCAUACGUGGCUUUGGAUGUUCUGGCGUUUAGGGAAAUUAUGUGAUUAUUAGGUCUCACGUGGCGUAGGAUUUUCCGGCGUAUGGGGAGAUUUUGUGAUUGUUAGGUCUCACGUGACGUAGAAUUUUUCGGCGUGAGGACAAACCCCAUACUUGGCGUUGAAUGUUCCGACGUAUGAGGAGAUGAUAUGAUUGUUAGGUCACACGUGACAUAGGAUUUUUUGGUGUGCUGACAGACCUCAUACGUGGCUCUGGAUGUUCCGGUGUAUGGGGAGAUUAUGUGAUUAUUAGGUCUCACGCGUGUCGUGAGAUUCUUCUGGCGUGUGAGACAGGCCCCAUACGUUGCGUUGGAUUUUUCCGGCGUAUGAGGAGAUUAUGUGAUCAUUAUGGAGAUGAAUGAAGAAUUGUGGUACUGCAUUGGAAAGAACUACGUGUGGCUUGAUCCCUUGGUGAGGGUAUGUAGGCAGCCUAGGAUAGUGCCUAGGUGCAGCCGCAGACUAAAUAUUAUUUUUGAGAUUGGUUCUGACCUUGUCAUUGGUCCUGAAAUUCGAUUGAAAACUAGAUGACGUAAAGUGUAUUUAGGCAUUCAUAUUUAUGUUUGAAAUUAUUACUUGCCUUGGUUAAGGUAUUAGUUGACUUAAGAGCUCUGUUGGUAGUUUAGUUUCAGAUUAUUUGAAGGCCGGAGACCGAUUAUGUGAAUUACAUGGAAUUAUCUUGUGCAUGCUGCCAGUUGUGGAUAUUAAAUGUGUUUUGUGCAGGUUGAAAUUUUUGGGAUUGUUCAAAUUACAGGGGAAACUUAGCCAAAAUUUCGGCAGAAAGUCUCGUGCCUUUAUUCCGUUUUUGAAUAAGGAGGCUAUAGUUUUAGUAAGUGGGCCCGGCAUCGGGGUGAUGUCGGAAUUUUCACAGGAUUCGUCUUGAGUUUUGAGAAAUUCGGGGCAGGUCCUGUCAUCAAUGAACUUAUGUACAAGCAUGAAGAUGGCUUUACUCAUGCUGGAGUUGUACUUAAGGAUCUUCUGGUGUCUCUGUUUGUCAACCCUGUGCCCAUAUAGGCCUAAAAUCAAAUUUGGUCUUCUUGUCUUUGCUAUAAAGAAUAAGGUCUCCACAAGUCAUGUCUUUGCUUUUUGGUUUUUAAAAAUAGUAAUUUGGUUUGUUUUGGGUCAUUUGUAGUCGUGGGCAUUACUCAGAAUAAGACUACACUAUUUGUACUGUACUGACCUUUUGUUUGUCAGCCCAUUUAGUACUUUAGAUUUUAUGUGUCAUAUAGAUUAGUUUGCAAUUGAUGUUCUGAAUAAAACAAAGUCGGGUUUGAGUCCAUAUUGUAUCAUUCAAUAGUUAUAUUUUUACAUUUCUACAUUUCUUUUUUUAUUGUUAACAAUAGGAAAAAAAAAACAAAAAAACAUGUCAAAAAACAAAAAAAGGAAACAUGUCAAAAAACAAGCUUUCUUCAAUAUCAAGCAAAAAAAUUUGUAGUGUAUGUUUUCACCCACUCAAAACAAAACAAAAAAAGUUCAUGUCUUCUUCUUUCUCUUCUAUUUUCUCAAAUUGAAACAUUAAAACUUUUAUGAAUUGGAUUUAUGAUUGCCAUUGCAUGCUAAUAGAUAAUGAAUUUUAGUUAUUAAAAAAAUUUAUAAUGGUAUUACCUCAUGGUAAAUUUUUUUAUAAAUAUUUUCAUAUUACAUUAUGUGAGGACUCUCGUUUAAGUUUUGCUCAAGGCCCUCAAAAUCUCAAGGUCGGCCCUGCUCUUUAUGCCCCUACAAUACAAACUUUUAUGAGCUGGACCAAAAUACAUGAGUUCCUCCGUAUACAUGUGUUACGUACGCAUAGCCCAAUCCACUUUUUAACUCCAUAGCCUAAAAGCCGAACUUCUUUUUUAGAAGUAAUUUUUGUACGCUCCGAGUACACCAUACAUGUGACAUGUGAAAAUAUUCUCUAAUACACUUGUAUUAGAUGGUACACGAGUCAACUUGUGUACACAGAAGAACAUAAAAAAUUUUCUCCUUUCUUACUAUGUAAGAAAUAAAUUAAUAUAUAAAUAACCGAAACAUAGAUAUUGGCAUAUUUGUGCAGCACAUCCUUCAACAAUCAGGAAAAAGAAAAAUAAAUAAGUAUCAAAUUAAAGAUUAACGACCUUUUCAAGUAGCAAAUAAAUGCAUUUUAUACUAAAAAAUCCUUUGUAAUUUAAACUAUUACUUAUAUUAAUAAAAAUAUACAAUUAAAUGCAUAUAUAAAUUAUUAAAGAAAUAAAUAUAUAGAUGGAUCAAUAUACAUGCACACAUUCAUAUAUGUCAAGUGAUCUUUAUUGUGUGUAUAUAUAUAUAUAUAUUUAUUUAUUUAUUUCUAUGCGUAGUCGCACAUUCCAUUGCCACAAGAAGUGCCUUCCUUGCAGUGGUUGGUGCACCUGCCACAGUUUUGAUUGUGAGACAUUGGAUUCACACAAUGAGCGUUGCGGCAUAUCUCUGAGCUACUGGCCCUGCGCUGCCUUCAGUUUCAAUAAAUAAAAGACAAAGUGAGAGUUUAUUAGAGCACUUUCAUCCAUUUGCCAAGACAAAAGGAAAGGGCUGUUACUAUUUACAUGAAUAGUGGCAACUCUUGUAAAAAGUUGUGGUGUUUUCACCCAUUGCCAUGACAACAACUAUUCACAUGAGAUGUGAUGAAAGAAAUUUGUAUAGAGUUUUGGUGUGGAAAGUGAAAAAUAUGACUAAGUAUUUAUUUUUAAAAAAUUCUAAAAUUAUUUGUAGAUUUUUUUCAAUUUUAAAUUUUCUGUUGCUGUUUCUGACGUCAGCAUACCCUGGCUUGAGCUCGAGCUAAUUUUGCCUGAGGGCUGGCUUGGUUUCGUAGGCCCAAGCAGUUGCCCUGAUAGCUUAAGGCCGCUGGAAUCAUGAAAAGGGGCUUGGGCCCCCUAUUGCCCUGGCAAGGACUGUCCGAUGGAAAGGCUCUUAGACACCAAACAAUGGACAUUUCAACAACUGGAUAGUUAGUGAGUCCAUAAGCAAUUCCACACUUUUCUUAAUAGAUACAUAUUUAUAUCAAUACCAUUAUUUCAAAUUUUGAUUACCAAAUAAUAGCGUAAGAUAUGAUAAUUUUUUAUUUGUUGUGAAUAAAUGAGAUCUAAUUCGGAUACACCAACACUAUAUUAGCCCAAAUAUGAAAUAGCAACAACUUUAAGAGGAUAUACUCUGCGAACGCUUGCCCCAGUAGAUUCAGUCAUGUCUAAGUCCUCCCCUCUUGCGCCAUCGGGCAGCGCCCAGUGAACUUGUGCACUAAAUUUGCCAAAGCAAUCUCUUGGACAGCCAUGGCAAACUGAAUUCCUGGGCAAACUCUUCUGCCAGCCCCAAAUGGAAUGUAGUGGAAGUAAUUGCCCUUAUAAUCUAUGGCACUGUCCAAGAACCUUUCUGGCUCGAACACCUCUGGUUUGUUGUAUGACUUGGGAUCUCUUCCAAUUUGCCACGCAUUCACUAUAACUUGUGUGUUGGCUUUAAUGUCGUAGCCAUUUAUUUGUGCAUCUUGGGUCGAUAGCCUGGGCAGUAGCAAUGGAAUUGAAGGAUGUAGGCGAAGAGUCUCCUUGAUAACUGCCUUCAAGUAGUGCAUUUCAACCAAAUCAUCCUCUCUAAUUAUGUCUGUUUUCUUGCCAACUAUUCCCCGGACCUCAUUCUGCAAUUUUUCCAUGAUUCUUGGAUGCCUUAAAAGCUCGAACAUUGUCCACUCUAGGAGUGUAAAUGAGGUGUCAGAGCCACCAACAAACACAUCCUACAAGAAUUUUAAUGGUAAAAAUCGAUUAAAAAUUAAUGGAAAAUUAUAUAUAAAACCCAAAAAAUUGGGGUUAGGAAUAACCCACGUGUUAUUUAUCUAUAUAUCUAUAUAUAAAAAAAAAGGUAAAAGGCUUUAAAAGUGAAACAUUCAAAAACCCUGAAAAUACUCGUGCUUCAAAGAAUUUUUGCUGCUUGGAUUGGAAUAGUGUAGUCUUCUAUCUUUUUAAUUAAGGUGCACUGGUCGUGAAAAUGAUUAUGCUUUGAACUCUUUUUCUGCAUGAAGGGCUAGUGGUUGUUCUCUCAUAGGAGAUUUUGGCACUAGUUAAACUUCAAAAAAAAAAAAAUGAAGAGGUUAAAAGAAUUCAAAAGAAAAAAAAUUGGAGCCAAACUUUUUCCUAAUAUUAAUGGAGUACAUGACUCAUUUGUUUUGUGUGAUCACCAUUUGGUUAAUGAAUUGUGCACAAAAUUUAAUAAGAUACGGAUCCUCUGCUAUGAUUUUAGUCCCCUUAUAGGAUGGAUCGUACUUUGGAGCACAUGUGGUAGUUCCUACUCACACUCACAAAUACAUAUUGGUUGGUCCAUUAAAAUGCAAAUAUCACCUCUCAUAUCAUUAUGCGAACAUUGGGCACAAGAGUUGUGUUUCCAACGUUGACAAGGGAUUGGAAGAUCUAGCUCGACGGAAAAAUAAGGAAUAAAACUUAUAGAAGCAUGCAUGCCGUCUAUGUAUUGUUGUUAUCAUGGCGAUACUAAUUCGGCAAUUUCUAAUGGGUGAAUUAAAAAAACAUUUUUAAUCUAUAUAUGUAAAGUUAAAUAUCAUUAUGGUUAAAUUUUAAAAUAACUCAUUUAAGAAAAAUUUCAAAACACAAGAAUUAAUUCAUUUUGAAGGGACAGAUACAUUUAUUUAAAAAAUAAUAAUUAAAAGGAGAUAAGAAUCUAUGACCAACAAGAAUUCUAUAUAUAUUACUGUUGAUGCUCAAAAUUAAUGUGAUGAGAAGUUGAAGGAUAUUUAAAGCCCAAUAUACUAUAUAAUGUUGGCUAUGUGUUAAUCCAAGCUAUAUUUUGGGAAGUAAUUCAUUAAAUAAAUAUAGAAAUAUUGUACAAGUCGUGCCAAGCAAGAUACAUUUUCCUAUGCUAAACUACCCGACAAGCUUAAAUGGACCCAAGCCACAUAUAUGUAUGGAGAUUGCUGAACGAGUUGUGGUGUGGAUGGUUAUAAUUGUUCAUAAAGCCCGUUGAAAAAUCAGACAAUAAAAGUUUUAGGGCUGCUUGGGAGUACAAAAACUCAUACCCACUUUCCUGAGCCUAAUUACAUGGGUAAGUAGAGACAGAACUUCCAGCCUCUUCCAAAACUCAAACCCCACUUUACUGCACACUCAUGGAAAAACCAACUGUUGAGCACUGUACACUCAUGAAUCCUUCUUUAAACAAACAUUCUAUAGCCUAUAAAUAGACCUUCAUCCCUCCUUGCAAUACACACACCGAAACCAGAAGAAGAACGGCAUGAGGCAAGCUCAUCCUCCCACUGCCGUAAACACAGAAAGCCCAAGCCUUCCUCCAUCACGCUUCUCUUCUUUCAUAACACCACUCCAAGCCCUAAACAUCACACAGAAAACCAUCCCAACUCCCGAAAACACCACAUGCAUCUCACCUUCAACAUAUCUUAUUCCAAUCCAAGCCGCAAAAGCACUCUCUCUUACUAAACUUAUGGAGACUUGUUCUCACACCAUAAGCCUCUCAAGCCAAGCUUCAUAUUGAUUAACUGAAGCAAGCUCCCAUGCGAAGCGUACAGUAUCGACAUAGUUGCUCUUUACUAGAGACCACUUCCUCUAGCAUCUUCUCCAGCACUAUUAAUUCCACUACUUACAGCACAUAGUUCACUUCAAGAAAAGCACUUCCAACGCAACAAAAUCAAGCAUAAUCAUUCCAGUACCUAUUAAUUGUACAUCAAAACCUGUAAGGAGCCACUGAAGAUAACCAAAUCACUCCCCUGUCUUAAACUCUUUCGGGGUGCUUUGGGGCCUGGUGCUGCAAACUCAGAAAGGGUAAAGGAGAUCUCAGUCCACCUCACAUUAGUCCAAUAAGCCCAUUGCAUCUCUCAACAAAAUAGACCCUCAUACAAAUGGCGACUCUGCUAAGGACUAGGCCAUUAUUCUUAGAGCGGCUCCUCAACAAUCACAAACUUUGUGAUUCGCACGUCACGCCACUGGGGGCUUCAUAAAGCAAGUUUUCCGUUGCCUUCUUCAAGUUCUUCCUGCAGCAGGAGAGAUGAAAUCGUUAAUUUUUCUUUGUAUUCAGUAUUUAUUGCUAAAAAAAAAGUUCUUUCGAUCAAUCAAGCUGCUAAAAAAAAGGAGUUAAGCAUCCAGGAGCUGUUGAUUUUAGUUUUCUUCCUGGAACAAUUAGAGAAAAACAAACCAAAUUCUACAACCAUUUGCUGACCGAAGUGGUUUAGGCUUCAUGCCAAGGAAAUUUAGAAAAACAAUAUAAAUAUCAGAGAGAGUGAAUCACUCAAACAGAAACCAAUCCAACAUCAAACAUCCAUCUGCCAACAAUAUUUUAGUCCUCCAUGGUUCUCCUUUUCUUACCAGAUAAAAGAAAAAAAAUGAACGAAAAGCAAAAGAGACAGAAUACAAAAACUUAUGUGAAAGCAUCUUCACUUGCUCUGCCCACAGCUCACCAAUCGUGGUCACAAGCACAAGAUAUGAAUUUUGCCACCAAUGCCUCAAGGGUUGAAACGAAAUAACCCCUUGCUAUCACCUUUCUCACAGCGAAAGGAAGAUUUUCUCUGCAAAUUUACACAGAUCGACCACCACCAUCGCUGCAGGACCAGCCAGCUUGCAAUAAACAAUGCAUGAAUCUCCACGUACGGCACCCACUUCAUGCGCCAAUAUUAUAAUCUUAGCCGUGUGUUUUUAUAGUGAGAGUGAGACAGGGCAUGCAACUACUCGCUCAACCCAACUCACCCUGCGCUAGAUUUUUCUUAUCUUUGAAUUAUUUGGUUUUCAGGCACCUAAGGCUUAAAAUAACUUAUAUUCUUUGAAAUUUUUUAUAGGAACUAGUUGUGGCAGAGGUGAUGGGUGGAACGCACCAAGUUAAUUAAAUAAAAACAAGGCUUAAAUUUCAAAAUGGUCUCUGUAAUUUACUUCAUCGGCCAAUUUAAUUCCCCUAUUAUCAAUUUGGCCAAUUUCGUCCAUGUGUUUAUAUAUAUUAGCAAAACUUCAUCCUUUCCGUCAAAAUUUCUGUUAAAACUGAAGAAAAAAAAUAUUUUAAAAUUAAUUUAAAAAACUGCAAUUAUUAUUAAAUAUUCAAAUUCAAUCUAAAAAUUGAAUUAAUAAAAAAAAAUUGCCUCCCCCAACCUCAACCACCUCCCAACCCCACCUAAACCACCAUUUUUUCUCUCGCACCUUCCUCUCCGGCAAAUUGCAAAGAACUUCGUAGCCAAUCAUUGCAGCGCUUGGCUCUGCCAGUUCAUCAUCCUUGUUGUAGCAGAAGUUGGCGACAUUCACACAAACAACAUGCACACUGUAGAUUCUAUAACCCUCUCGAACCCUCGUCGUUGUUUGCACCAAGACCACCGUUGAGCUCGAUUUCUCAACAAGAUUUGCACUCUGCUUUGUCUGGGCGUUGGUUAAUCCGAGAAGAUAGUCUAGGUUGGAGUGGGCUACUAGACCCCCCUUUUCAACCCAAUACAAGAACAUGACUUUUAAUAAUUAAGUUUUUAUUAUUAUUUGAAUUUGAAUAUUUACAUGACAUUUUUUUCUUAAGUUUUAACAGAAUUUUAACAGAAGGGACCACAUUUUUUAAAAUAUACAAAAACAUGGACUAAAUUAGCCAAAUUGAUAACACGAGGACUAAAGUGGUCAAUGAGUUAAAUUUGGAUCUAUAUCUAACUUUUCUAUUUUUUUAUAUACCAAAACUACCCUCAUGCUUUUCAAGAUAUUCUCAACUCUAAGUACCCUCCUCCUAUCUUUCUCCUUCUUGCCAAUCUCAUCAAAACCCAUCAGAGGAGCUUAUUCCCCCUCCUCAUCCCUACCCCCACAGUAGCCCCAUCCUCAUCCAUGUAGCAGCCCCACCCCCUACCGUGCCAAGGGUAGCAUUCAUAUGUUCAAUCAAUGCUUGAAAUGGUAAAAAUGAACAACAACAAAAUUAACGAUAUAGUUUGUGGUUCUAUUUAAUUCAUUCUCCCUUUCAAACCAGUUGAGUAAAGGCCAUUAGACCCACUAACAGGGCCUAGUCUCGUGGAAAAUAUUGUUAACUUGACAGGACCCGCCCCGAAUUUCCCGAAACCCAAGACGAAUCUUGUGAAAAUUCCGACAUCACUCCGAUGUCGAACCCAGUCACUAAAACUAAAGCCUCCUUUUCCAAAAGGAAUAAGGGCAUGAGACUUUCUACUGAAAUUUAGGCAGUCUCCCUUGUAAAUUGAACAUUCCCAAAAUUUCAACCUGCAAUAAAACACAAUUUAAAAAGCCAACUGCUAGCACACACAAUGUAAUAGCACACAGUUUACAGACAAGGCCUCCAGCCUUCAAAUAAAUCAAGGCAGAACAACUAGUAGUACUCUUAAGUGAAUUAAUAUACUGACAAUGCAACUAAGGAACUCAAAUAAUUUUACGAGUACCACUGCAGUCAACAUGAAAUAACUUCCCAAGUUUUCAAUCUGCAAAGACACAAUAAUACUUCUCACAAAUUUCUAGCAUGCAUCAACUACCAUCUAUGAAUUUUCACCAAUAGUCCCAGGGGCCUCGGCCCAUAAUACCAUAUAAUCAAACCUAAAAACAUGUAUAACGUUUAGUCAACAACUGCACCUAGGCGCUACCCUAGGCUGCCUACGUACCCUUACUAAGGGAUCAAGCCACACGUAGUUCUUUAUACUAAAUCCUAAUUCCAAACACAUACAAUACCUUUAUUCAUCUCUCUGUUAAUCACAUAAUCUCCCCAUAUGCCGAAACAUCCAACGCCAUGUAUGGAGUCUGUCAGCACGCCGAAAAAUCCUACUCCACGUGUGACCAAACAAUCAUAUCAUCUCCCCAUACGCGGCGUAUGGGGUCUGUCCUCACGUCGGAAAAUCCUACGCCACGUGAGACCUCACAAUCACAUAAUCUCCCCAUACUCUGGAACAUCCAAAGCCACGUAUGGAGUCUGUCGACACGCCGGAAAAUCAUACUCCACGUGCUACCUAACUAUUACAAUAUCUCCCCAUACGUCGAAAAAUCCAACACCACGUAUGAGGUCUGUCCUCACGCCAGAAAAUCCUACAUCACGUGGGACCUAACAAUUACAUAAUCUCCCCAUACGCCGGAAAAUCCUACGCCACAUGAGACCUCACAAUCACAAUAUCUCCCCAUACGCCGAAAAAUUCAACGCCACGUAUGGGGUCUGUCAGUACGCUGAAAAAUCCUACGCCACGUGUGACCUAACAACAAUCAUAUCAUCUCCCCAUACGCCAGAACAUCCAACGCCACGUAUGGGGUCUGUCCUCACGCCGAAAAAUUCUACGCCACGUGGGACCUAACAAUCAUAAAAUCUCCCUAUACGCCGGAACAUCCAACGCCACGUAUGAGGUCUGUCUCAACGCCGGAAAAUCCUACUCCACGUGAAACCUAACAAUCACCGGAUGGUACUUACACAGUGUAAUCAUCAUCUUUAUAUCUUUAUAAUAUAUAUAUAUAUAUAAAUUUCCAAUAUUGCCUAAACCUCAACCACAAUAUAGUAUCCGAUAUCCCCCAAUUUAAAACAAUAAAUUAAUAUUCUAUUCCCACAAAAUCAACUUAACUCAAGUAGCGGUUAAGACUUAUCAAUAAGGUCAUUUUAAUCCCUCUAGAAAGGUGAAACUAUCUCGAAAGACUCACAGUCAACCAAGAAUCAAACUACUCAAACUUGCUCAAACAGGCCCACGACCCCCAAAUUUGGAUCCGAAAGUUCCUAUGGGCUCUACAAGGAUCAGGAUACACUUCCUGCAAGUUUGGUUCAGAUCGGACGGUCGGAUCGCUCACGAUCGCACGAUCGGACGGUUAUUGUAAAAAUAGCCUUAGGAUUGACAUUUUCGGAGUGUCCGGGACUCCGUUUUACGAUCCGUCGAAUCCUAUACGAUCCUAAAGAUGCCUCGAUUGUCAUAUAUCAAAUUGGAGUUGAUCCAACGGUCUGAACAUGUCAAACCAGAUAACGCCUAAUAUGCGAUAUCCGAUCGACGAUCAAACGAUAACCAAAUUCAAAUUCGAGCAUCCCGUCAUGCUGGGGACGACAAGAGGGUUAUUUUGAAACUCUAAGAUAGGCCACCACAUGACCCACGUGCCACCCCAUGUGCCGGCAGUGCGUAGGUGUCCAAAGAAAUUUCCGGCGGCCGAAAAAUCUCCAAACCGCCGGCCAAGACUCCCAGGUUAGGUAAAUCACAUGUAGUGGAGCAACUUUUGUCCUUGAACCUACCCCAAAAAGUAGACGAAAGUGGCUGAAAACUGGCAGAAUUUCAAUCGCUUAUUUAACCGCCUAAACACAGAAAUUUCUCCUUUGCAACACAACCAUCAGCUAGAACGUCUCGAGAGGUUGAGAAAGCAUACCUAGAUCGACGAAAAUGGUGCCCGGAGGAGUCCGAACGAGCUCUGUGAAUUUUGGGUUAAAACCGGUCGAUUUUUGUCACUUUCCAGUGAGCACAGGUGGUUCCAGCGGCUGAGGCUGGUCGGGACGGAAAGAGUGAGGUGGCCUGGUUCUUUCGGGACCGGUACCACCCGAAACGGUGGCCGGAUGCGACGGUGGUGACCCAAAAUCCCGGCUGAUGAAUAGUAACAGGGGGGCUGUUUCUUGCGAAAGGAGAGGGAGAAAGAAGAAGAAAAAGAAGAAAAAGAAAAAGAAAAUUUAAAACUGCCCGGUUACUGUAGCACGACACUGUUUGCUACAGUACAAAUUUUAAAAAUUACCUUUGCAUCCUUUUUGUUUUCAGACUUUUCCUCUUUCGUUACAACUCAGAAUUGGGCGUGCCGCAUGUCUACGAACUCAUGUCGACGAGCUCUACUUAAUGGUGCCACUUACUUCUCCAAAAUCUUUUCGAAUCAGAAAAUAACCAAAAUACCCUUAUCCAAAGGGUAUAUUCGUAAAUUCAUAUUUAAAUUAAUUUAAUAAUUUAAUUGGGUAAAUAAAUUAGGGUCAGGGUGUUACAUAACUUGCAAACUAAUAGUCUCAUGUUCGAACUCUCAUGGCACCUUGGUAAUGUGCGUGAGAAAAUCCCCUCCUUAUUCCUAACUUUGGCAACCAAAAAAAAAAAAAAGAGUCAUCAGGCCAUCAUAUAAAUUCAUCUCUUGUUGUUCGAUCAACAAAAAAAACUCAUCUUGUUAUUUUUUAUUUCAAAAUUAUUUACAUGUAUUAUUUUAAAUAAUCACAUGAAUGCGUAGAAUAAUAUAAUAAUGUAAAUAUAUUGAAUUAUUUAUCAUUAAACAUCAGUAAAAUUUUAAAAAUAUAGACAAUAAAAUGUUAUUAUAUUGUAUGAUGUACUUGCCAUUUUAAGUUUUUUUUUUUUACUAGUAAGUAUACAAAACAUAUUUUAUUAUGUACAAGGCAUAUUAGUAAUCAAAUUGAUUUUGAUUCCUAUUACUGAAUACUUACAUAAGAAUGAUAUAAUAAUUAGUGGAAAAAAAAGAGGCCUGGUUUCAAACAAAGUACUAAUUACAUGAGUGGGAAAUAUAACUUCUGUUUACUUAUGUUACUCCAUUAAUAAAAUAAUAUAUUAAUUUGUAGCAACUCCGAUCUCUUGGACCAUAAGGGUCACCCACCGUUGGAUGUUAAUCUCCUUCUCACAAUAUUUAUAUACACACCAAUAUUUAUAGAGGAAAUAGGUAACAAAUUUCCUAAAACCCUUGCUAUAUAUUUCUGUCCUGAAAGAUUUAAGGAGCCUCAAAUUUGGAUAUUGCAACCACUUGAGACGUUAAUUAAUUAGACUUUAGAGAACGGUUAGGAUAUUGCAAUUUUUGGAUAUUAUAUAUCACUACUACAUUUUACACUUUGCGCGACGAAGUUAAUUUCGUCGCGCAAAAUAAAUUGUGGUCGCACAAAUUUCAACGCCACAAAAACUUCGUCGCGCAGAAUCCGUCGCGCAAAGAUCGUGAAGAAAGACUUUGCGCGACGAAGUUUUUUCAUUGGUCGCGCAAAGUUACUUUGCGCGACGAAAAAAUAUUGGUCGCGCAAAGUAACUUUGCGCGACGAAGAAAAGUGACUUUGCGCGACGAAAAAUAUUGGUAGCGCAAAGUUUUGCACGACGAAAUACAUUGGUCGCGCAAAGGUUUGCGCGACGAAAAACAUUGGUCGCGCAAAGUUUUGCGCGACGAACUACAUUGGUCGCGCAACUGUUUGCGCGACGAAAUACAUUGGUCGCGCAAAGUCUUAAAAAAAUUCCCGCGUCAAAUUUUUGGUACCCGCCCAAAUUUUUAGAGUUUUACGCGACAAAUAGUAACGUCGCGCAAAUAUUUGCGAGACGAAAUAUUUUUUGUUUUAAAUUUUUUUUAUUUGAAAUAAACUAAUUUAAUAGUUUGCGCUACGAAAUAUUUUUUCUUUAGUAUGAAUUUAUUUAUAUGAAUUUUUUCAAAUUUUUACUUUUUAAUUUAAUUUAAUUGUAUGAUUUCUUUUUAAAAUUACUUCAAUUUAAAUUGAUAUUAAUUUUUUCAAAUUUUUACUUUUUAAAUUUAAUUUAAUUGUAAGAUUUUUCUUAAUUACUUUAAUUUAAAUUGACAUAUUCAAAAUAAAAUUACAUAUGAAACAUAGUGAUCAAAUUAUCCAAUAAAUAUAAAUAUAUAUUCAAAAUGUACAUAUAAAUUAACAAAGUACAAUAAUAAAAUCCUAAUACAAGCGUAUUGUGGUGGUAGUGGCGGAGGAUAUGUUUUGAUAGCUUCCUAAUCCUCAACUUUAGCCGUCAAAGUCUCGAUGAUUCCCUACAAAAAAACAAAUAUAGUCAAAUAACAACAACAACAACAAAAAGAACGCACAAUCUCCCCUAAAAUUGUUAUACCACAAAUCCAACCCAAACUCCAAUCUCUCCCCUUUACUCAACCCCAAACCCCACACAAACUCAAAACUAACUCCAAAAACACAUAUUAAUGAAAAAAAUUUAAAAUUUGGAGAGAAUAUACCUUUUGGCAAGAUUGAGAGUGAGUGAGAAUGAGAGGGAGAAGUGAGUGUGAGAGAAUUAGAAAAGAUAGUGAUAGAGAGAUGAGAGAGUGAGAGAUAGUGAAAAGAUAGAUGAGAGAGUGAGUGAGAGUGAGAGAUAGUGAAGAUAGAGAUGAGAGAUUAAGUGAGAGGAGUUAGUGUGAGAGAAAGGGUGGGAUUUGGGGAAAGGGAAAGAGAGAGGAGAGGUAAGAGUAGAGAAAGAAAUUGAGAAAAUGGUGGAGGAGUUAUUUCAGUUUUAAAAAUCGUAUCACUUUGCGCGACGAAAAUAUGGUUGGUCGCGCAAAGUUUUGCGCGACGAAACAUAUUGGUCUCGCAAAGUUUUGCGCGACGAAUAUAGGAAUAUUGGUCGCGCAAAGUCUAAAAAAAAUUAUUUUAAAAAAAAAAAAAAAUUCCCGCAUCCCAUUUUUGGUACCCGCCAAAAUUUUUAAAUUUUUGCGCGACGAAAAAUAAUUAUUGGUCGCGCAAAGUCUAAAACAAUUAUAUAUAAAAAAUUCCCGCGUCCCAUUUUUGGUACCCGCCCAAAUUUUUGCGCGACGAAAAAUAUAUAUUGGUCGCGCAAAGUUUUGCGCGACGAAACAUAUUGGUCUCGCAAACUUUUGCGCGACGAAUAUAGGAGUAUUGGUCGCGCAAAGUCUAAAAAAAAUUUUUUUUUUUUUUUAAAAUUCCCGCAUCCCAUUUUUGGUACCCGCCAAAAUUUUUAAAUUUUUGCGCGACGAAAAAAACAUAUUGGUCGCGCAAAGUCUAAAACAAUUAUAUAAAAAAUUCCCGCGUCCCAUUUUUGAUACCCGCCCAAAAUUUUUGCGCGACGAAAAAUAUAUAUUGGUCGCGCAAAGUUUUGAGCGACAAAAAAUAUUGGUCGCGCAAAGUCUAAAGUUUUUUUUUUAAUUUUAAAAACCCGCGUCCCAUUUUUGGUACUCGCCCAAAUUUUUUGAGUUUUGCACGAUGAACUGUUGAUCGCGCAAACUUUUGAGAGACGAAAAAUUGGUUCGUAGCACAAUAUUUAUAAAAAUAAUUGUUAUGAAUAAUAAAAAAUAAAAAAAAUUAUUUUAUGAUUUAAAAUAUAAUUAAGGUGAAAGCUACUUAAUAAAUGUAUAUACUAUUCAAUUUCUUAAGUGUUAUACGUACAAAAUAAAUAAAUUUAAAGCUACUUAAUAAAUAUAUGUAUAUAAAUAUAUAUAUAUACACACACCAUUCAACGAUCCAACCAUAAGACUUGUUUGUAUAUACUUCAAGAUCGUAUACCCCAAAAAUCGCAAAAAACAAACAUUCAGAGAUCUAGUAACGGGACAAAACUUUUCGAUAGUUAUAAAUGAAAAAUCACGAUUUAACGGUUAUUUUAACUCCGAUUUUGAUGAUUUUUUUUACAGCUACACUCCUUGACCCUAUAUGAAUACAAUGACUGAAUUUGAUCUUCAAUUUAAAACAUUUGCACUAGUGGAUACCACAAAAUCUUAUGUUAUAUUUAACGAAAAUAUAAAUAAACUCUUAAUUGUUAGUGAAUAUAUUGUUUUGAUGGCAUAUGCAUUCUACGAAACUAGUUUCAACGAUCCAACCGUCAAACUUGUUUUUUUAUACUUCGAGAUCAUAUAUGCCAAAAAUUGGAAAAAAUAAAUAUUCAUAGAUCAAGUAACGGGACAAAACUUUUUGACGGUUAUAAAUGAAAAAUCAUGAUUUAACGGUUAUUUUAACUCCGAUUUUGAUGAUUUUUUACAGCUACACUCCUUGACCCUAUAUGAAUACAAUGACUGAAUUUGAUCUUCAAUUUAAAACAUUUGCACUAGUGGAUACCACAAAAUCUUAUGUUAUAUUUAACGAAAGUAUAAAUAAACUCUUAAUUGUUAGAGAAUAUAUUGUUUUGAUGGCAUAUGCAUUCUAUGAAACUAAUUUCAACGAUCCAACCGUCAAACUUGUUUUUUUAUACUUUGAGAUCAUAUACGCCAAAAAUCGGAAAAAAUAAACAUUCAAAGAUCAAGCAACGGGACAAAACUUUUCGACGGUUAUAAAUGAAAAAUCAUGAUUUAACGGUUAUUUUAACUCCGAUUUUGAUGAUUUUUUACAGCUACACUCCUUGACCCUAUGUGAAUACAAUGACUGAAUUUGAUCUUCAAUUUAAAAUAUUUACACUAGUGGAUACCACAAAAUCUUAUGUUAUAUUUAACGAAAAUAUAAAUAAACUCUUAAUUGUUAGUGAAUAUAUUGUUUUGAUGGCAUACACAUUCUAUGAAACUAGUUUCAACAAUCCAACCGUCAAACUUGUUUGUUUAUACUUCGAGAUCAUAUAUGCCAAAAAUCGGAAAAAAUAAACAUUCAUUGAUCAAGUAAUGGGACAAAAGUUUUUGACGGUUAUAAAUGAAAAAUCAUGAUUUAAUGGUUAUUUUAACUCCGAUUUUGAUGAUUUUUUAUAGCUACACUCCUUGACCCUAUAUGAAUACAAUGACUGAAUUUGAUCUUCAAUUUAAAAUAUUUUACACUAGUGGAUACCACAAAAUCUUAUGUUAUACUUACGAAAGUAUAAAUAAACUCCUAAUUGUUAGUGAAUAUAUUGUUAGUGAACAAAAAAAAACUAGUUUCAACGAUCCAACCGUCAAACUUGUUUGUUUAUACUUCGAGAUCAUAUACGCCAAAAAUCGGAAAAAAUAAACAUUCAGAGAUCAAGUAAGGGGACAAAACUUUUCGAUGGUUGUAAUGAAAAAUCACGAUUUAAUGGUUAUUUUAACUCCGAUUUUGAUGAUUUUUUACUGCUACACUCCUUGACCCGAUAUGAAUACAAUGAACUAAUUCGAUCGUCAAUUUAAAAUAUAUAUUUUCUAACAAAAACCCAAUCCGAACAACAAUAAUAUAUUUUUCUAAUAAAAAUCCGAUCCGAUCUAAAAUAAUAAGUUUAAAGCUACUUAAUAAAUAUAUAUACCGUUUAAUUUCUUAAGUGUUAUGCAUACAAAAUAAAAAACAAAAAUAAAUUGGUUUAGGUGACAAAAUGUUUGGAUUACGUCAUGCAAAGAUUCUAAAAAAUAAAUUUUUUAUUCUAUUUAUUUUUGUAAGGACUUUGCGCGACGAAAAGUAAACUUCGUCGCGCAAAGUCACUUUGAGCGACGAAUUAUUUUUCAUCGCGCAACAUUGGUCGCGCAAGACUUUGAGCGACGAUGUAUUGUCGUCGCGCAAAAGUUUGUAGCGCGAAGUGAGUUUGCGCGACGAAUUAUUUUUCGUCGCGCAAAAUUUGGUCGCGCAAGACUUUGAGCGACGAAGUUUCAAGUUUCGUCGCGCAAAGUAACUUUUAGCGACGAAUAAUUUUUCGUCGCGCAAAAUUUGGUCGCGCAAGGGGUUUUUUUUACUAGUGUAUUCUUUCUCUACUUUACCUUAAUGACUCAUAAUUACCCACUAGCACUGUAACACAGCUUCAAGUUGAAGCCAUGGCAGAGGCGUGGGAGGGGAGAAAGACUACGUAUUUUUAUAGUGUUAUCUCCGACUAAUAAUACCAUAGCAUUCAUGAUAAUACUUCGAUGUGGCAUAACAUUAUUGGCCGAAAAUAACAAAACAAUACUAUCUCCAUUACAACUACGUUUUUAUCCGUGGGCUGCUCUUAGGCUUAUCUAGUCUUUAAAAUGCAGUUGAAGAAUUUAUUAUUAUGAAAAUGACGUGAGAGAGAGGGAGGGGGUCAUAUAUUUUCAGAAUAAUUUUGCUAAAAAACGAAAGCAGAAGAAUUAAUUAUUAUGAAAAUGACGUGUAAUAAAACCACAGGUUGUGUGACAUUGCCGUACGGUACAUGCAGUCGGUGAGUCCACAGAUGACCAUGCAUUUGUUUUGAGUCGGAUUAAGCAGUGAAUGGGGGCACUAGUUGUCCAUCUUUAUAUGACCCAAUGACUUAAGAUAUCUAUAUGCAUACAGACUUUGAGAAAGCACAAAUAGUUUGUGGACAUGAGCGAUAGAUACUGUGGUUUUGGAUUAUCAACAAUGACAGUGUGAACGACUUUUCUUCAUGGUGUGCUUUAGCUACAUCUUCUACGCUUCUGCAUUGGUCACAUUCAUGUAAUCUUGAACAUGAAGCAACGUACCACAAAGGCUACCAAAACUUUAAUAACUGUGGACCAGAAGGAAGCAGUAUAUAGGUCCUACUACCUGUGCAUUUUUGCUGACUAAUAGUUUGAUGCUUAAGGUAAAUCCAAUACAAUUAGUGUAAAUGUCAUUUUACUAUAUAAUUAGGUAUAUCCAAUACAAAAUAAAUCUUUAAUCUUGAACAUAUUUAUAUAGGGGAUUCUAUGACUCACAAAGAAAACCUACGGAUACAUUUGUGUUUAUGUUUAAUCUCAUUUUCUCUUUUGUAAUUCCAUCUACUUUUCAUAAGAGUUUGUUUGAAACAAUUUAUAUAUAAAAACUACCCUUGUUUUUAGAUGAUUAUUGUGGUAGGAUGUAAUCAACAAAAUAGACAAACACGGUAUUUCAAGAAAAGACUAUAAUAAAAACUAUCUAAUUGAAUGAUCAAAUAGUUUCGGAUCCAAUUGAUUGUCACAGAAAUGAUCUUUGAAGAAAUAUCUAAAAACUAGAUGGUAUUGGAUUAUUGAAAUGCAUGGUGAGUCUUAUAAGGGUGUCUUUCAAAUAAACUUAUUUGAGAAAUCCCUCAACUAAAGCCAUAUCAGUCUCCUUCUCACAAUAUUUAUAUACACACCACACCUUUUGUGAAAAUCUAAAAAUGCUAAAUUAUGAAUGAAAACUGACAGUUAAAGAACUCUCAUGAUCACUCUACAAGAUUGUGACCUGAAUGAUGAAUCAGCAGCUUAAGUUUCACCCCAUUAAUAAAAUCUUUUGCCGUUCCCAUCCCACCUCUAAUAAAAGCUUACUUAAUACGUAGUCCCAUCAACCCCUACCAUCAAAGUAAGGGUUGAAUUUGGCGCUCUUUAGCCUUUAAUCACCACAAGAGUCACAAAUUCUUCUCUCUCCUUAUCUUUCCAACCCCACUGAUAUCUCAGGCAGCUCUAUAAAUAGGAAGAACCAAGCCAUAUUAUACUCACUCAGCAAUCAUCUCUUGCAUACUUUCAUAUAUACAUUAUUGUGCUUCUUGUUAAGCAAAACAUGGCAUCCUCAAAGGCUUUUCUUCUUCUUGGUCUUGUCUUUGCUGUUCUCCUCAUCUCCUAUGAGGUCUUAGCUAUUCCAACUCGUGAGUUUCUCACUUUCUUAACUAAAUCAUAAAUAUUAAAUUAGUAAUUGUAUCUUUCUUUCCAGUAACGAUUUGUGAAUUUAUGCACAUUUUAAUUAAGGUGCAUUGGUCGUGAAAAUGAUUAUGCUUCGAACUCUUUUUCUACAUGUAGGGUUAGUAGUUGUUGCACUUGCACGGCUUAAUUUGCAUCUUAUUAAAUACAAACUGAUCUAUGAUUGUUAUAAGUUAUGUAUAUUGUUUUUGCUUUAUAUAUAAAGUUUUUGGUUGUUCUCUCAGAGUCAGAGGAGAGUACAGUCAACGGUGAUGCCCGCGGAUUUGGAGGUCAUGGCCGCGGAUUUGGAGGUCAUGGCCCCGGACAUGGAGGUCAUGGCCCCGGACAUGGAGGUCAUGGCCCCGGACAUGGAGGUCAUGGCCACGGACAUGGUGGUCAUGGCCACGGACAUGGAGGUCAUGGGCACGGACAUGGAGGUCAUGGCCACGGACAUGAAGGGUAUGGCCACGGACAUGGUGGAUAUGGCCACGGCCACCACGGCCACCACGGCCACCAUGGCAUAGGGAGGCCUGGUGCUGCUGAGACUGAAAUCAAGAAUUAGAUAACCUGUUAGUUUCUGUGACUUACGUUGCAGGUGUGUUGUAAGGGUAGCAGUACGAAAUAAAGUUGUUUGGUUGAGUAAUCUAUAUGAACUCUCAAUCAUAAACUGUCCUAAGCUUGUUCUCAUGUUUCUCAUGUUCUCUGUAAUGUACGCAUUGUAAUGUACGCAUU